rnacentral:rRNA from 1 species
CCUACGUGAGGCAGCAGUGGGGAAUAUUGCACAAUGGGGGAAACCCUGAUGCAGCGACGCCGCGUGAGUGAAGAAGUAUUUCGGUAUGUAAAGCUCUAUCAGCAGGGAAGAAAAUGACGGUACCUGAUUAAGAAGCCCCGGCUAACUACGUGCCAGCAGCCGCGGGAAUACGUAGGGGGCAAGCGUUAUCCGGAUUUACUGGGUGUAAAGGGGGCGUAGACGGCAGCACAAGUCUGGAGGGAAAUGCCGGGGCUUAACCCCGGAACUGCUUUGGAAAGUGUGCAGCUAGAGUGCAGGAGAGGUAAGUGGAAUUCCUAGUGUAGCAGUGAAAUGCGUAGAUAUUAGGAGGAACACCAGUGGCGAAGGCGGCUUACUGGACUGUAACUGACGUUGAGGCUCGAAAGCGUGGGGAGCAAACAGGAUUAGAUACCCCAGUAGUC